GACAAAUGUAUGUGACGGGGCCUGAAUAAGGGAAGACUUUAAGGAAAGUCAUAGAUUGGAACCAAAUUCAUGUGAAUUUCCACCCAGAGAGAGUCAGAGCUGGGCUCACUCAGCAGCACAGGUGGGCUCAGAUGCCAAAAGCAGCCCAGGGUAUCCAGGGAGCCGCGGAACGUUUACGAGAUGUCAGCCUUGAGAUGGGGGUCCGAUGGUGAUAUUGUGGGACAUCUAACACGAAUCAGACAUUUACACGACAUAAGGAGACUCUGUUUUCUUCAUGUUUGCAGAACGCCUGUGCAGUCAGGCCCUUGGGUGGGCUCCUCUCCUCAGCUUUGCACUGUGGUUGGCCCCUCACACGGUUGCCAGAGUGGCCAAUGGAAAUCGCUGUGGAUACAACCCAGUUCAUACCGGGGGGCCCUCCCAGGUCCUGGUCGCCUCACUUCGCUUCGUCUUCCCACAUUCACUUUUCUGGCAACACCAAGCUGCCGCUUGUUGCCCAAAGAUGCCUGCAGACGUGGUGGUUGUGGGCUCUGGGAUCCAGCCCCACCAUUCCCCAGCCGUGUGGCCUCGGGCAAAGUGUUAACAUCCUGAGGCCAUUGUGUCCUCGCCUGUGAAACGUGGGAAAUGUCAGUGCUUCCUCCCAGUGAGGAGGAGACGAGACGCUCUGCAGACCAGAGGGCAACUCCUCACGGAACAUUGACUUUCCGACUGUCACCCUAGAGGGCCAGAACCUCACCCCUUUGCACUUCAGGCUCUAGAUCCACGUCUACCAUUAUUGCUUAAUAAAUAUUUGUUACAAUAAUUAAUUAAAUCAAUUCAGUGGUUUCUUGAAUAAAACUUUGGCUG
rnacentral:lncRNA from 1 species